CACACAAUCACACACACACACAGCUACACACUCACACGAUGACUGAUGCCUUCUCCCUCCUCUUCGUGCGUUCUCUGUUUUCUCAGCUCUCUGUGGCACCUCUGAGACUUUUGGCUUUUUGUCCUCUGGUUAUAACCGUGCGGUGGAAGCCGUUCUGCACAGCUCCAGCACCAUGCUGUCCCAGCUACAAACUGAGAAGCAGCCGCAGCAGGAGCGGAUCAGCCUGCCUCUCACUUUACUGCCUCUGACUUUGUCGGCCGCCUUUCCGUCCUGCACUUUUUCCUCCUCAUGGUUGGUGUUAAUUUCCUUUGUCUGUAAGGCAUGUUUCCCCUUACGUCCACAACGGGAUAAAGAAAAGAUGGGGUUUUUUUGUUUGUUUUUUAAUGGUUUGUGUGAAAGACAAGGCGAGACAACAGUGGAUAAAAUGUGAUGCGGCUGGAGUGACAUAGAGAUGCAGGGCUGCAAGUCAAGAGGCAAAGCACUAAGUCGAGAGUAAGGAUGAGGGGACUGAGAGGAAGAUUCAAGUUGGAAAAUAUACGUGGGAAAAGUUACUUUUCGGUUCAAGUCUAAAGGAAGAUCCAGAACGUCGACAUGACAGCGAUCUCAAGGU